GUGCGGGUAGCUCAACGUCAGAGUGCUCGAUUGAUUGCUUCGGCAGUCACCGGGAGAAGAUGGUUCGACUCCAUCCCCGCACACCA
rnacentral:tRNA from 1 species